AGUGAACGCUGGCGGUAGGCCUAACACAUGCAAGUCGAACGGCAGCACAGUAAGAGCUUGCUCUUACGGGUGGCGAGUGGCGGACGGGUGAGGAAUACAUCGGAAUCUACUUUUUCGUGGGGGAUAACGUAGGGAAACUUACGCUAAUACCGCAUACGACCUACGGGUGAAAGCAGGGGAUCUUCGGACCUUGCGCUAUUGAAUGAGCCGAUGUCGGAUUAGCUAGUUGGCGGGGUAAAGGCCCACCAAGGCGACGAUCCGUAGCUGGUCUGAGAGGAUGAUCAGCCACACUGGAAAUGAGACACGGUCCAGACUCCUAAGGGAGGCAGCAGUGGGGAAUAUUGGACAAUGGGCGCAAGCCUGGUCCAGCCAUACCGCGGGGGUGAAGAAGGCCUUCGGGUUGUAAAGCCCUUUUGUUGGGAAAGAAAAGCAGCAGGUUAAUAACCCGCUGUUCUGACGGUACCCAACGAAUAAGCAACGGCUAACUUCGUG
rnacentral:rRNA from 1 species